AAUCAACGCUGGCGGCGUGCCUCAGACAUGCAAGUCGAACGAUUAAAGCUCUCUUCGGAGAGUGUAUAGAGUGGCGCACGGGUGAGUAACACGUAAGUAAUCUACCUUUGAGUGGGGAAUAACGUCCGGAAACGGACGCUAAUACCGCAUAAUGCAGCGGCAUCGCAAGAUGACAGUUGUUAAAGAUUUAUCGCUUGAAGAGGAGCUUGCGGCAGAUUAGCUUGUUGGUAAGGUAAUGGCUUACCAAGGCUACGAUCUGUAACCGGUCUAAGAGGACGGUCGGUCACACUGACACUGAAUAACGGGUCAGACUCCUACGGGAGGCAGCAGUCGGGAAUUUUGGGCAAUGGGCGAAAGCCUGCCCCAGCAACGCCGCGUGAAGGAUGAAGUAUUUCGGUAUGUAAACUUCGAAAGAAUGGGAAGAAUAAAUGACGGUACCAUUUAUAAGGUCCGGCUAACUACGUGCCAGCAGCCGCCGUAAAAC
rnacentral:rRNA from 1 species